UCCGGAAUCAUUGGGCGUAAAGCGCCUGUAGGUUGUUUAAUAAGUCUGUUGUUAAAGACUAGGGCUUAACCCUAGGAAAGCAAUGGAAACUACUAGACUUGAGUAUGAUAGGGGUAGAGGGAAUUUCUAGUGUAGCGGUGAAAUGCGUAGAUAUUAGGAAGAACACCGGUGGCGAAGGCGCUCUACUGGAUCAUUACUGACACUCAGAGGCGAAAGCUAGGGUAGCAAAAGGGAUUAGAUACCCCUGUAGUCCUAGCCGUAAACGAUGGAUACUAGAUGUUGCGUUUAUUAUGCAGUAUCGUAGCUAACGCGUUAAGUAUCCCGCCUGGGGAGUACGCUCGCAAGGGUGAAACUCAAAGGAAUUGACGGGGGCCCGCACAAGCGGUGGAGCAUGUGGUUUAAUUCGAUGCAACGCGAAGAACCUUACCAAGGCUUGACAUACUACAAAUUUUUCUGAGAAGAAAAAGUGCCUUCGGGAAUGUAGAUACAGGUGGUGCAUGGCUGUCGUCAGCUCGUGUCGUGAGAUGUUGGGUUAAGUCCCGCAACGAGCGCAACCCUUGUUUUUAGUUGCCAAUUUAUUGGGUUUUCUAGAAAGACUGCCGGUGACAAACCGGAGGAAGGUGAGGAUGACGUCAAGUCAGCAUGCCCCUUAUGCCUUGGGCUACACACGUGCUACAAUGGCUAGGACAAAGAGCUGCGAGCUCGCGAGAGUCAGCUAAUCUCAUAAACUUAGCCUAAGUUCGGAUUGUAGGCUGCAACUC
rnacentral:rRNA from 1 species